AGAGUUUGAUCAUGGCUCAGAACGUACGCUGGCGGCACGCCUUAUACAUGCAAGUCGAACGAAGUAGCAAUACUUAGUGGCAGACGGGUGAGUAACAUGUAGGUAUCUUCCCUUUGGUGAGGAAUAACACGAGGAAACUUGUGCUAAUACCUCAUAAGUCUUUACGGAGAAAGCUUUAUGCGCCGAAGGAUGAGCCUGCACUUGAUUAGUUUGUUGGUAGGGUAAUGGCCUACCAAGACUGUGAUCAAUAGCUGAUCUGAGAGGAUGAUCAGCCACAUUGGGACUGAGACACGGCCCAAACUCCUACGGGAGGCAGCAGUAGGGAAUAUUGCACAAUGGAGGAAACUCUGAUGCAGCGAUGCCGCGUGAGUGAAGAAGGCCUUUGGGUUGUAAAGCUCUUUCGUCGGGGAAGAAAAUGACUGUACCCGAAUAAGAAGGUCCGGCUAACUUCGUGCCAGCAGCCGCGGUAAUACGAAGGGACCUAGCGUAGUUCGGAAUUACUGGGCUUAAAGAGUUCGUAGGUGGUUAAAAAAGUUGGUUGUGAAAUCCCGAAGCUUAACUUCGGAACUGCAAUCAAAACUUUUUAGCUAGAGUUUGAUAGAGGAAAGCAGAAUUUCUAGUGUAGAGGUGAAAUUCGUAGAUAUUAGAAAGAAUACCGAUUGCGAAGGCAGCUUUCUGGAUCAUUACUGACACUGAGGAACGAAAGCAUGGGUAGCGAAGAGGAUUAGAUACCCUCGUAGUCCAUGCUGUAAACGAUGUGUGUUAGACGUUGGAAAUUUAUUUUCAGUGUCGCAGCGAAAGCAGUAAACACACCGCCUGGGGAGUACGACCGCAAGGUUAAAACUCAAAUGAAUUGACGGGGACCCGCACAAGUAGUGNGCAUGU
rnacentral:rRNA from 1 species